rnacentral:tRNA from 1 species
GGGGAUGUAGCUUAGUGGCAGAGUGUUUGUUUCACAUGUACAAGGCCCUGAGUUCAAUCCCCAGUACUACCG